UUUUUUGAAAUUUUUUUUAAGAAGUCCUUAAGAAAUUUAGUUAAAGGGCAUUUCUGUUGAUUGGGGUGAUUCUUAAAGCUUGCGGAUCUUUAGGUGUAAUAAUAAGAUCCAUUAUUAGUGAUUAAAUGAGAUAAAUACUCUAGGGGUAACAGCGUUAUUAUUUUGGAUAGUUCAUAUAGAUGAAAUAGUUUGCGACCUCGAUGUUGGAUUAAGAUUCUUUUGUAAUGCAGGAGUUACAAGAAGAAGUUUGCUCAACUUUUGAAAUCUUACA
rnacentral:rRNA from 1 species